CCUACGGGAGGCAGCAGUGGGGAAUAUUGCACAAUGGGGGGAACCCUGAUGCAGCGACGCCGCGUGAGUGAAGAAGUAUCUCGGUAUGUAAAGCUCUAUUAGCAGGGAAGAAGAUGACGGUACCUGACUAAGAAGCCCCGUCUAACUACGUGCCAGCAGCCGCGGUAAUACGUCAGGGGCAAGCGUUAUCCGGAUUUACUGGGUGUAAAGGGAGCGUAGACGGCAGGGCAAGUCCGGAGUGAAAGCCCGGGGCCCAACCCCGGGACUGCUUUUGAAACUGCCAGGCUAGAGUGCUGGAGAGGUAAGCGGAAUUCCUGGUGUAGCGGUGAAAUGCGUAGAUAUUAGGAAGAACACCAGUGGCGAAGGCAGCUUACUGGACAGUAACUGACGUUGAGGCUCGAAAGCGUGGGGAGCAAACAGGAUUAGAUACCCGGGUAGUC
rnacentral:rRNA from 1 species